ACGAACGCUGGCGGCGUGCUUAACACAUGCAAGUCGUACGGUAAGGCCCUUUCGGGGGUACACGAGUGGCGAACGGGUGAGUAACACGUGAGUAACCUGCCCACAACUUUGGGAUAACGCUAGGAAACUGGUGCUAAUACUGGAUAUGUGCUCCUGCUGCAUGGUGGGGGUUGGAAAGCUCCGGCGGUUGUGGAUGGACUCGCGGCCUAUCAGCUUGUUGGUGGGGUAGUGGCCUACCAAGGCGGCGACGGGUAGCCGGCCUGAGAGGGUGACCGGCCACAUUGGGCCUGAGAUACGGCCCAGACUCCUACGGGAGGCAGCAGUGGGGAAUAUUGCACAAUGGGCGCAAGCCUGAUGCAGCAACGCCGCGUGCGGGAUGACGGCCUUCGGGUUGUAAACCGCUUUCAGCAGGGACGAAGCUUUUUGUGACGGUACCUGCAGAAGAAGCACCGGCUAACUACGUG
rnacentral:rRNA from 1 species